rnacentral:rRNA from 1 species
CAACAAUGGAUCUCUUGGUUCUGGCAUCGAUGAAGAACGCAGCGAAAUGCGAUAAGUAGUGUGAAUUGCAGAAUUCAGUGAAUCAUCGAAUCUUUGAACGCACAUUGCGCCCCUCGGUAUUCCGUGGGGCAUGCCUGUUCGAGCGUCAUUU